rnacentral:rRNA from 1 species
AUGAUGCUUUGCUCUAUCAGGUGCUUCCCGGAGGGCAUUGACAUCUACUUCGACAAUGUGGGUGGUGCGAUAUUAGACGCUGCGCUACUCAACAUGAGGCUGCACGGGCGGGUGGCCAUGUGCGGGUUGAUUUCGCAGUACAACCUGGAGCUGCAUGAGGGCGUGCGCAACCUUGCCUGCGUCGUUACCAAGCGCGUCCGCAUAGAGGGGUUCAUCGUGACGGAGUACUUCGGCACCUACCGCAAGUUCGAAGAGGAGAUGGUAAGUCACCUCAAGGAAGGGAACAUUACCUACGUGGAGGACGUCGCCGAGGGGAUCGAGAAGGUACCGGCAGCACUCGUCGGGAUCUUCUACGGGUGCAACAUCGGAAAGCAGCUUGUGGCUGUUGCACGGGAUUGA